ACACUUACAUAUCAGAAAGAAAAAGGAGAAGUAACGUAAUCAGGAAGGUGGAUUCCUUGCAUUCGGGCUAUGCUGACUCCUACAGUUCCCAAAUGUAGGGAAACUUGAUGGCAUAACUUGCAGUAGUGAGAGAGUGCAUUUGUGUUCUCCUCUGC
ensembl:snRNA U1 U1 spliceosomal RNA